rnacentral:rRNA from 1 species
UACAGAGGGGGCAAGCGUUGUUCGGAAUUACUGGGCGUAAAGGGCGCGUAGGCGGCCUGCUAAGUCGAACGUGAAAUCCCCGGGCUCAACCCGGGAACUGCGUCCGAUACUGGCAGGCUUGAAUCCGGGAGAGGGAUGUGGAAUUCCAGGUGUAGCGGUGAAAUGCGCAGAUAUCAGGAGGAACACCGGUGGCGAAGGCGGAUCUCUGGGCCUUACCUGACGCUCAGGUGCGAAAGCUAGGGGAGCAAAAGGG